UGACCAUCACCCAAGGCGGACGCACUAAGACUGGUUGGAGUAAUGCUCUCACAAAACGCACUGCCCAGCAUGCCCAUCGCGCUUGUACAUGUUGUCGUACUGCUAAUGCCCCAAAACCGCCCAAAGUUGGAUGGCCAUAUAACAAAUAUUUAGGAACCCCGGUGAGUCGUCUUUCUUGUGCGACCGGUCCGAGGUUCCUAUCAAUAAGUUUGGCCGCUUUAGCCUCAAUAUUCAUGAGUUGAGCUUCUGGGGGAAACCCCCCGUGUUCCAUAUGCCACGUAGAACGAUGC
rnacentral:lncRNA from 1 species